rnacentral:rRNA from 1 species
UAGGGAAUUUUCGUCAAUGGGGGCAACCCUGAACGAGCAAUGCCGCGUGAGCGAAGAAGGUCUUCGGAUUGUAAAGCUCUGUUGCCGGUGAAAAAGGAAGGAAAGAGGAAAUGCUUUUCUUUGGAUGGUACCCGGCCAGAAAGUCACGGCUAACUACGUGCC